rnacentral:sRNA from 1 species
GUUUGCACUCAUCGGGGAAGGGUGAGAACCUUCGACUAAGGUUCGAUUCGAGCGAAAGCGAGAGAACGUUGCCACAGGCAACGGCCC